CUCCAGACUCCUACGGGAGGCAGCAGUGGGGAAUAUUGCACAAUGGGGGAAACCCUGAUGCAGCGACGCCGCGUGAGUGAAGAAGUAUUUCGGUAUGUAAAGCUCUAUCAGCAGGGAAGAUAAUGACGGUACCUGAGUAAGAAGCCCCGGCUAACUACGUGCCAGCAGCCGCGGUAAUACGUAGGGGGCAAGCGUUAUCCGGAUUUACUGGGUGUAAAGGGAGCGUAGACGGCAUGGCAAGUCUGAAGUGAAAGCCCGGGGCUCAACCGCGGGACUGCUUUGGAAACUGUUAAGCUGGAGUGCAGGAGAGGUAAGUGGAAUUCCUAGUGUAGCGGUGAAAUGCGUAGAUAUUAGGAGGAACACCAGUGGCGAAGGCGGCUUGCUGGACGACGACUGACGUUGAGGCUCGAAAGCGUGGGGAGCAAACAGGAUUAGAUACCCGGGUAAAG
rnacentral:rRNA from 1 species